CUACAUAAAAUCUGCGCUGUGUCAGCAAGGACAAAGAUGGAAGGUGGUAAUGGCGGUUGGGGAAGCUGCAGACUGUGUUUGCCACACACUUUGAUGUACAGCAGUGAAAACAUCUGCAUGUCCCAAGUCCACAUGCUCAGAAGAAGACUGGAAACAGACGUGAGAAAUAGCUAUGGAGGAAGUGGGCUGUCCCCAGAAUGGUCUGCUGUGAGAACAGAGACAGCCUUUCAUCAAAACAAAACCAGAAAGCAACUGCAAUGCCCAUCAAUAGAAGAAUGUGCAGAAAAAUGACACAGCCG
rnacentral:lncRNA from 1 species